AAAGAACAACAAAGUUGAAGAUUCACACUUCCUGAUUUCAAACUUACUAUAAAGCCACAGUAAUCAAAACAAUGUGAUACUGACAUAAAGUGAGACAUAUAGUCCAAUGGACCAGAAUUAAGAGUCUAGAAAUAAACCCUUGCAUAUAGGGCCAAAUAAUUUUCAAUAAGACUGUCAAUUCAAUCGGGAAGAACAGACUUUUAAAGAAAUGGUGUUGGGAAAAUUGGAUAACCACUUUCAAAUGAAUGAAAUUGGGUCAUUGCCUACUGUGUAUAAAAAUUAACUCAAAAUGGAUAAAAGACCUAUAAAUAAGAGCUAAAACUAUAAAACUCUAAGAAGAACACCAUGCAGUGGGAGGAAGCUUCAUGACAUUAGAUUUGACAAUCAUUUCUUGAAUAUGAUGCCAAAAGUAUAGGCAGCAAAAGUAAAACUAAGUAAAUUGGACUUCAUUAAUGUUGAAAAUCUUUGUAUGUCAAAGGACAUUAUCAACAAAGUAAAAAAGGCAACCAACACAAUCAAAAUAAUGUUCAUAAUCACAUAUCUGGUAAGGGAUUAAUAUUCAAAAUAUAUGUAUAUUUUAAAACUUCUACAACUCAAUAGCAACAACAAAAGCAAUUUAAAAAUGGACAGAGGCUUUUUCACAGUGGGUUUGCCACCAGAACACAGGUGCCAUAAAAACCACCCAUAAAACUCGAAAUGGGGAAGGAAAAGACUGACAUCAACAUCGUUGUCAUCGGACACAUAGAUUCAGGCAAGUCCACCACUACUGGCCAUCUGAUCUACAAAUAUGAUGGGAUCGAGAAAAGAACCAUCAACAAAUUUGAGAAGGAGGCCACUGAAAUGGAAAGGGCUCCUUCUAGUAUGCCUAGGUCUUGGAUAAACUGAAAGCUGAGCAUGAGUGUGGUGUCACCAUUGAUAUCUCCCUGUGGAAAUUUGAAACCAGCGAAUACCAUAUGACUAUUAUUGAUGCCCCAGGACACAGAGACUUUAUCAAAAACAUGCUUACAAGCACAUCUCAGGCUGACUGUUCUGUCCUGAUUGUUGCUGCUAGUUUUGGUGAAUUUGAAGCUGGUAUCUCAAAGAAUGGGCAGACCCAUGAGCAUGCCAUUCUGGCUUACAUACUAUGUGUGAAACAACCAUUGGCUGGUGUUAACAAAAUGGAUUCCACUGAGCCACCCAUCAGCCAGAAGAGAUAUAAGGAAACUGUUAAAGAAGUCAGCACUUACAUUAAGAAAAUUGGCUGCAACCCUGACAUAAUAGCAUUUGUGCCAAUUUCUAGUUGGAAUGGUGACAACAUGUUGGAGCCAAGAGAUAACAUGCCUUAGUUCAAGGGAUGGAAAGUCACCUGUAAAGAUGGCAAUGCCAGUGGAACCACACUGCUUGAAGCUCUGAAUUGCAUCCUGACACCAACUCAUCCAACUGACAAGCCCUUGCGUCUGCCUCUCCAGGAUGUCUACAAAAUUGGUGGUAUUGGCACUGUCCCUAUGGGCUGAGUAGAGACUGAUGUUCUCAAACCUGGCAUGGUAGUCACCUUUGCUCCAGUCAAUGUUACAACUGAAGUAAUGUCUGCUGAAAUGCACCAUGAAGCUUUGAGUGAAGCUCUUCCAGGGGACAGUAUGGGCUUCAAUGUCAAAAAUGUGUCUGUCAAAGAUGUUCAUUGUGGCAGCAUUGCUGGUGACAGGAAAAGUGACCCACCAAUGGAAGCAGCUGGCUUCACUGCUCAGGUGAUUAUCCUGAACCACCAGGUGAUUAUCCUGAACCAUCCAGGCCAAUUUAGCACUGGCUAUGCUCCUGUACUGGAUUGUCACACAACUCUUAUUGCCUACAAGUUUGCUGAGCUGAAGGAAAAGAUUGAUCGCAGCUGUGGAAAGAAGCUGGAGGAUGGCACUAAAUUCUUGAAAUCUGGUGAUGCUGCCAUUGUCCCCUAUGGUUCCUGGCAAGCCCACAUACGUCGUGAGCUUCUCAGACUAUCCUCCUUUGGGUCGUUUUGCUGUUCAUGAUAUGAGACAGACAGUUGCUGGGUGUCAUCAAAGCAGUGGACAAGAAGGCUGCUGGAGCUGGCAAAGUCACCAAAUCUGCCCAGAAAGCUCAAAAGGCUAAAUGAAUAUUAUCCCUAAUACCUACCACUCCACUCUUAAUCAGUGGUGGAAGAACGGUCUCACAACUGUUUGUUUCAAUUGCCCAUUUAUGUUUAAUAGUAAAAGACUGGUUGUUAAUAACAACGCCUCGUAAAACCUUCAGAAGGAAAGGAGAAUGUUUUGUGACCACUUUUGUUUCUUUUCUUGUGGCAGUUUUAAGUUAUUAGUUUUUAAAAUCAGUAUUUUUUAAUGGAAACAACUUGACCAAAAAUCUGUCACAGAAUUUUGAGACCCAUUAAAACAGAGUUUAAUGAGAAAAAAAA